rnacentral:rRNA from 1 species
AGAGUUUGAUCAUGGCUCAGAGCGAACGCUGGCGGCAGGCUUAACACAUGCAAGUCGAGCGGGCAUCUUCGGAUGUCAGCGGCAGACGGGUGAGUAACACGUGGGAACGUACCCUUCGGUUCGGAAUAACGCUGGGAAACUAGCGCUAAUACCGGGUACGCCCUUUUGGGGAAAGGUUUACUGCCGAAGGAUCGGCCCGCGUCUGAUUAGCUAGUUGGUGGGGUAACGGCCUACCAAGGCGACGAUCAGUAGCUGGUCUGAGAGGAUGAUCAGCCACACUGGGACUGAGACACGGCCCAGACUCCUACGGGAGGCAGCAGUGGGGAAUAUUGGACAAUGGGCGCAAGCCUGAUCCAGCCAUGCCGCGUGAGUGAUGAAGGCCUUAGGGUUGUAAAGCUCUUUUGUCCGGGACGAUAAUGACGGUACCGGAAGAAUAAGCCCCGGCUAACUUCGUGCCAGCAGCCGCGGUAAUACGAAGGGGGCUAGCGUUGCUCGGAAUCACUGGGCGUAAAGGGCGCGUAGGCGGCCAUUCAAGUCGGGGGUGAAAGCCUGUGGCUCAACCACAGAAUUGCCUUCGAUACUGUUUGGCUUGAGUAUGGUAGAGGUUGGUGGAACUGCGAGUGUAGAGGUGAAAUUCGUAGAUAUUCGCAAGAACACCGGUGGCGAAGGCGGCCAACUGGACCAUUACUGACGCUGAGGCGCGAAAGCGUGGGGAGAAACAGGAUUAGAUACCCUAGUAGUCC